GUUGUAUAGUCAAGUAAUUAAGUGCAUGUGGUGGAUGCCUUGGCAGUCAGAGGCGAUGAAAGACGUGAUAGCCUGCGAAAAGCUCCGGGGAGGCGGCAAAUAUCCUUUGAUCCGGAGAUGUCUGAAUGGGGGAACCCACCUACUUUAAGGUAGGUAUUGCAACAUGAAUACAUAGUGUUGCAAGGCGAACGAGGGGAAGUGAAACAUCUCAGUACCCUUAGGAAAAGAAAUCAAUUGAGAUUCCCUCAGUAGCGGCGAGCGAACGGGGAUCAGCCCAUUAAGUUAUGUGUGUUUUAGUGGAACGCUCUGGGAAGUGCGAACGUAGAGGGUGAUAUUCCCGUACACGAAAGGGCACACAUAAUGAUGACGAGUAGGGCGAGGCACGUGAAACCUUGUCUGAAUAUGGGGGGACCAUCCUCCAAGGCUAAAUACUCCUGACUGACCGAUAGUGAACCAGUACCGUGAGGGAAAGGCGAAAAGAACCCCUGUGAGGGGAGUGAAAUAGAUCCUGAAACCGCAUGCAUACAAGCAGUGGGAGCACCUUCGUGGUGUGACUGC
rnacentral:rRNA from 1 species